UACGUAGGGUGCAAGCGUUAAUCGGAAUUACUGGGCGUAAAGCGUGCGCAGGCGGUUUUGUAAGUCUGUCGUGAAAGCCCCGGGCUCAACCUGGGAAUUGCGAUGGAGACUGCAAGGCUUGAAUCUGGCAGAGGGGGGUAGAAUUCCACGUGUAGCGAAAUGCGUAGAGAUGUGGAGGAACACCGAUGGCGAAGGCAGCCCCCUGGGUCAAGAUUGACGCUCAUGCACGAAAGCGUGGGGAGCAAACAGG
rnacentral:rRNA from 1 species